UACGGGGGGGGCAAGCGUUGUUCGGAAUUACUGGGCGUAAAGGGCUCGUAGGCGGCCAACUAAGUCAGACGUGAAAUCCCUCGGCUUAACCGGGGAACUGCGUCUGAUACUGGAUGGCUAGAGGUUGGGAGAGGGAUGCGGAAUUCCAGGCGUAGCGGUGAAAUGCGUAGAUAUCUGGAGGAACACCGGUGGCGAAGGCGGCAUCCUGGACCAAUUCUGACGCUGAGGAGCGAAAGCCAGGGGAGCAAACGGG
rnacentral:rRNA from 1 species